CGGGUCUGGGCGGUGACCUCUAGAGAAGUCGCUGCUGGGAGUGAAGUCACAACCCCUUGGCCCGCUAAACGGCAAAUAAAAGGGCUGCCCGAGAUGUAAGGCAGGUCCACGGGAGAAGGGGAGGGAUAGGCCCAGUUCCCCUCCGUCUCCUUCCUUUCUCCCUGAAGAGGCCCCGCCCUUCGAGGGGGGAGAAGCCCGCGCACCUGACCUUGGCACUUGGGACAGAAGGCAAGCGAGGGAGGGCAGGCGCCGUGGGUUUCCUAACGCCCGUACUGAUGGACAGAUUUUGCUCAUUUCCCCAAUGAACAUAAGGCUUUGAAAAAAAAAAAAGUUUAAAAAAAGGAAAGAAGAAAAAAAAAAACAAAAGCUGUGCUAUCGAUUUAGCCAAAAAGACCAGGAGAAGCAGCAGCAUCUGGCUGUAGGAACACCUGCCCCCCCACCUUCCAGGCCCCCCCCCCCGCCCCCCAGCACAUCCUGAGAAGGGCCGCAGCGAGCCACCGCCGGAAGGAACAGAAGAGCAACUAGCAAAGUCAUCUGUCGGCCCUUCACAUGAACUGGAGACAAAGGCAGAUUGGGUCCGGCCGCCCAGAGUUGGCAAGUACGAGCGAAGGCACUCACCACAGCAAAUAAAUGCAUGUCGGAAAGCAUCACAGGUACCUUGGAGUUCCUGUGUCUGCAGCCACGGCUCUGGGCUCGGGGACAGAGACGAGGUCGUCCUGCCUGGAGCUGGUAGCAAGAAGGCACCAGGAUGGGAAGCUUAAACACACACGUUCCAGCCCCUGGUCUCCCGGGGGUGUCUGUUCCAGAACACGGCUCCCUGAGAAGGUCGUGGUGGAUUGCUGAUUCUCUGAAGGCAGAGGAGGCGAAGAGGAAAGAUAAGCAGGUGUGUCUACAGCUCGCUCCUGCACCCCCGUCCCCCACCCCACGCCUGGACACCUUGCGUCGGUGUCCAUGGCAUCCGAACACCACUCUCCAGGCUCCCGGGUGCCAGGAGCGUGCUCUCACCUUGAAGAUAAAUUUGCACAGUGCGCACACCGUGUUCUGUGUGGAAAUUUUGCCUCUUUUACAGUGAUUCCAAUAGAGACUUCAGAGAAAUACUGCCUUCCAUGAAAAAGUCUCAGUAAAUACACUCCUCAGAAUUUUCAUUCUUAAUAUAUCAGUAGCUUUUCAGUUCA